rnacentral:misc_RNA from 1 species
AUCUCUCAAGCAGGGAUGGCUUUAUUGCUGACCUUGUUUGGAUUUGGACUCUGCUGUGUCAAUGCGGCUGGUCUUAAAUUUAUUAGCUGGUCCUUAUGGAAGGUUUGGUUCUACUCAGCGUGAUAAUUAUCUAACGUUGAGGACAGUUCUAGGACUGGCCAGAGCUAUCUUUGGAUUGCUUCCAAUUGUCCUUGGGACAAACUUAUUCAA